UUGACCUCAAAUCAGGUAGGACUACCCGCUGAACUUAAGCAUAUCAAUAAGCGGAGGAAAAGAAACUAACAAGGAUUCCCCUAGUAACUGCGAGUGAAGCGGGAAAAGCUCAAAUUUAAAAUCUGGUAGUCUUUGGCUGCCCGAGUUGUAAUCUAGAGAAGUGUUAUCCGCGUUGGACCGUGUACAAGUCUCCUGGAAUGGAGCGUCAUAGAGGGUGAGAAUCCCGUCUUUGACACGGACUACCAGGGCUUUGUGAUGCGCUCUCAAAGAGUCGAGUUGUUUGGGAAUGCAGCUCUAAAUGGGUGGUAAAUUCCAUCUAAAGCUAAAUAUUGGCGAGAGACCGAUAGCGAACAAGUACCGUGAGGGAAAGAUGAAAAGAACUUUGGAAAGAGAGUUAAACAGUACGUGAAAUUGUUGAAAGGGAAACGCUUGAAGUCAGUCGCGUUGGCCAGGGAUCAACCUUGCUUUUGCUUGGCGUACUUUCUGGUUGACGGGUCAGCAUCAAUUUUGACCAGUGGAAAAAGAUUAGGGGAAUGUGGCAUCUUCGGAUGUGUUAUAGCCCUUGGUUGUAUACAUUGGUUGGGAUUGAGGAACU
rnacentral:rRNA from 1 species